rnacentral:rRNA from 1 species
GAUGAACGCUGGCGGCGUGCCUAAUACAUGCAAGUCGAGCGAACAGACGAGGAGCUUGCUCCUCUGACGUUAGCGGCGGACGGGUGAGUAACACGUGGAUAACCUACCUAUAAGACUGGGAUAACUUCGGGAAACCGGAGCUAAUACCGGAUAAUAUAUUGAACCGCAUGGUUCAAUAUUGAAAGACGGUUUUGCUGUCACUUAUAGAUGGAUCCGCGCCGCAUUAGCUAGUUGGUAAGGUAACGGCUUACCAAGGCAACGAUGCGUAGCCGACCUGAGAGGGUGAUCGGCCACACUGGAACUGAGACACGGUCCAGACUCCUACGGGAGGCAGCAGUAGGGAAUCUUCCGCAAUGGGCGAAAGCCUGACGGAGCAACGCCGCGUGAGUGAUGAAGGUCUUCGGAUCGUAAAACUCUGUUAUUAGGGAAGAACAAAUGUGUAAGUAACUAUGCACGUCUUGACGGUACCUAAUCAGAAAGCCACGGCUAACUACGUG